rfam:Perkinsus marinus ATCC 50983 gcontig_1104296568196, whole genome shotgun sequence.
GACAGUUUGUCCGAGUGGUCUAAGGCGCUGGCUUCAGGCGUCAAUCCGCAAAGGCGUGGGUUCGAAUCCCACAGCUCUUA